CCAACAGAUAGUAAAACUUCAAAGAACAUAGAGCCUCAUCAGAAUAUUAUGAAAAAGUAUUAGAACAUUUUUAUUUUAGAUUUAUAUUCUAGGACCAGAAACUGUGUCAUAUUCCAUAGAAAUUUCAAACAAACAUCCCUUAUUAAAACUAACUUGGCACUAACUGAUAGUGACAGUAGCAAAUGACAAAAUCAUGACAAAAUGUGCCAAAAAUGAAUCACAAAAAUAAACGGCGGAAUUGGUUUCUACAAAUUUUUUCAUGUUGCAUAUCAAAGUUUGCAGAAUACUCCAGAAUUUCAAUCAAAAUUCGUAAGUUCUUCUAUUCAGUGCGAUAUUCAGAAAGAGCAAAGCAAGAUUUGUAAGUAUGGAGAAAUUGCCACAUAUUCUGAUUCUGAAAACACAUUGGACUUGGUUUCAUGCAGGAAUUUGUUUCAAAAAAAAGAUAUACCAGUAGAAAAAAAGGAAUGUUCCAUCCGGCCUGAAAAAAGUUUCAACGAAUCCAAAUACAAAUCUAUCAAACAUGAUGAACACAACCUAGAUUUCUGUGACAUUGUAGAAAGUGGUGACAUUCUGAAAUUUAACGUAAAUAUCAACUCGAACGCUUGCAUCGAAUGCUUAACUAGAAAAAGAAAAAAUUCUUUAACCAUAUUUGACGAAACAAAGUGUGAGUCGAACGGAAACAGCUUGGAAUUGAUUCUCGACGGAGGUGAAUUAAAAAUUCAACCGUCGAAGAAAAAAAAAAGUUUUGAUCGAACAAAAAUUGGGUUAGGUGAAGAUGUUGAUAACACGGAUAAGACGACCGAAAAAUUUGAUCAGUUACAGAAACAAUACUGCACAUUGUCAAGUAAAAUUGGGAAAUUUAGUUCUAAUAUAAUGAACAGAAUAUCAACAAUUAAAAACGAUGUUGAUCAUAUAAAAACAGUACUUUAUAAAAUUGGACGUGCGGUGGUCGAAGAGAAGAAAUCAACCAUAUCCUUCAGUGUCAGUGAUGUUAAAAAUAGUCUCGAUUGUGUUAAAGAUAUCGAUGUGAACCGGUCUUUAACGAAAACACAAGAAUAUAAAUACAUGCAAGCUAAAAUGAGGGCUUCAAAUUUUUGUAGAUUUUACAACCUGGGUAAAAUGUAUAAUAAAAAGAAAAAACACCAACAUGUUCCACGUCAACAUUGAA